GUCACAGUGGCUUAGUGGUCAAAACAUUUUCUCCUACCUCCAGGGUUGAGGGUUCAAAUCCCGCCUUUGCCC